GACGAACGCUGGCGGCGUGCUUAACACAUGCAAGUCGAACGGAAAGGCCCUGCUUUUGUGGGGUGCUCGAGUGGCGAACGGGUGAGUAACACGUGAGUAACCUGCCCUUGACUUUGGGAUAACUUCAGGAAACUGGGGCUAAUACCGGAUAGGAGCUCCUGCUGCAUGGUGGGGGUUGGAAAGUUUCGGCGGUUGGGGAUGGACUCGCGGCUUAUCAGCUUGUUGGUGGGGUAGUGGCUUACCAAGGCUUUGACGGGUAGCCGGCCUGAGAGGGGGACCGGGCCCCAUGGGACCAGGGAACCGGCCAGCACCCCAAGGGGGGGAAGAGGGGGGAAAUUUUUAAAAAGGGGGGGAGCCCGUGGACGGAAACCCCCGGGCGGGAAGGACGCCCUUGGGGUUGAAAACGCCUUUGCCUGGGACGAAGGGGGAGGGACGGUAAUUGGUAAAGAAGCCACGGGUAACUUCGUG
rnacentral:rRNA from 1 species